rnacentral:rRNA from 1 species
AACGAACGCUGGCGGCAUGCCUAACACAUGCAAGUCGAACGAACCCUUCGGGGUUAGUGGCGCACGGGUGCGUAACGCGUGGGAACCUGCCUUUAGGUUCGGAAUAACUCAGAGAAAUUUGAGCUAAUACCGGAUAAUGUCUUCGGACCAAAGAUUUAUCGCCUUUAGAUGGGCCCGCGUUAGAUUAGAUAGUUGGUGGGGUAAUGGCCUACCAAGUCGACGAUCUAUAGCUGGUCUGAGAGGAUGAUCAGCCACACUGGGACUGAGACACGGCCCAGACUCCUACGGGAGGCAGCAGUGGGGAAUAUUGGACAAUGGGCGAAAGCCUGAUCCAGCAAUGCCGCGUGAGUGAUGAAGGCCUUAGGGUUGUAAAGCUCUUUUACCAGGGAUGAUAAUGACAGUACCUGGAGAAUAAGCUCCGGCUAACUCCGUGCCAGCCGCCGCGGUAAUU